rnacentral:rRNA from 1 species
UAGGGAAUCUUCGGCAAUGGACGAAAGUCUGACCGAGCAACGCCGCGUGAGUGAAGAAGGUUUUCGGAUCGUAAAACUCUGUUGUUAGAGAAGAACAAGGACGUUAGUAACUGAACGUCCCCUGACGGUAUCUAACCAGAAAGCCACGGCUAACUACGUGCCAGCAGCCGCGGUAAUACGUAGGUGGCAAGCGUUGUCCGGAUUUAUUGGGCGUAAAGCGAGCGCAGGCGGUUUCUUAAGUCUGAUGUGAAAGCCCCCGGCUCAACCGUGGAGGGUCAUUGGUAACUGGGAGACUUGAGUGCAGAAGAGGAGAGUGGAAUUCCAUGUGUAGCGGUGAAAUGCGUAGAUAUAUGGAGGAACACCAGUGGCGAAGGCGGCUCUCUGGUCUGUAACUGACGCUGAGGCGCGAAAGCGUGGGGAGCAAACAGG